rnacentral:rRNA from 1 species
UGGGGAAUAUUGGACAAUGGGCGCAAGCCUGAUCCAGCAAUGCCGCGUGGGUGAAGAAGGUCUUCGGAUUGUAAAGCCCUUUCGGCGGGGACGAUGAUGACGGUACCCGCAGAAGAAGCCCCGGCUAACUUCGUGCCAGCAGCCGCGGUAAUACGAAGGGGGCUAGCGUUGCUCGGAAUUACUGGGCGUAAAGGGCGCGUAGGCGGCGCCGUCGGUCAGGCGUGAAAUUCCUGGGCUUAACCUGGGGGCCGCGCUUGAUACAGCGGUGCUUGAGGGCAGAAGAGGCUCGCGGAAUUCCCAGUGUAGAGGUGAAAUUCGUAGAUAUUGGGAAGAACACCGGUGGCGAAGGCGGCGAGCUGGUCUGUUACUGACGCUGAGGCGCGACAGCGUGGGGAGCAAACAGGAUUAGAUACCCUGGUAGUCCACGCCGUAAACGAUGUGCGCUGGAUGUUGGGGCCCUUAGGGCUUCAGUGUCGUAGCCAACGCGAUAAGCGCACCG